CGCUCCGCCCCGUCCACGCCCUACGCCCCGCCCCCCGCCCUGGCCGUCCGGGGCUGGGAGACUGGGUAGCGGCUGCGAGAGGCGGGAUCUUCGGGAGCGCAGGGAACGCUGGGAGCCGGGCGGUGACAGUCCCGAGCGUGCGAAAGCCGCCGACUCCGGAGAAAUCCCCCUCCUCCAGCCGUCUUCAUGCAUCUUCAUCAGAAGUAGAAUCCAUCUCAAGAAACUGCUUUCUUUGCUCAUCCGGCUAAAAAGAUGUCCUCUGAUCCAUAUUCAGCCCUAUUAUUGAGGACAACAUCUUGGAGAUUAUGAUUGAGGAACAAGGUAAACUCUACACCCAGCAUGGGCCUUGAACUAACAACCCCAAGAUCAAGAGUCUUACGCUCCACCAACUGAGCCAGCCAGGAGUCCUCAAAAUUCCAAGUUCUUAAUCCAGAUAGUGCUAUGAUGAAGGAAAUGAGACUGGUAGUAUGAAAGCCUCCAUGAAGAGGUUAUUGCUGUGAAACAAACAUGAGCCUGAAGCAGACCAGGAUGUUGAAUGUGGAAAUGAAGGAAAAAUGAAGAGGAAGGAAAAUAAUUAAGAGAAAUUACAAAGAGAAGGUAUAGACCUUGGUGACCUUGGCUUCGCCUUGGCUUGGCCUUGGCUAUAGGGAAUUAAGGAGAACCAGGAGGCAAAGAAAAGUCUCAAAUAUCUAACCUGGAAAAGCAGGAAUUGCUGGCAGAAAAAUGAAAAUAUGGAGAUUAACUUAGAAAAAAAUCAUAAAUAGAGUGUGGCAGCAGACCUAGAUCCCUCCAUCACCAAUGUUGCCUCUAGUCCCUCCUAUCCAACAUGAGUCCAUGUACCACCAUUUCUAAAGCAAACUUCAGGGGCAAGGGACAGUCCCUAAAGGAAGGACUGUAGCUCUGAGAAACUUGCCCACUCACCUAUUUUCAUUUAAGGAACUGAAACAUAAGGCUUGUGAACACCCAGAGAAAUGAAAUCUUAGUACAUGAGAACUCUAAAAGCGAUUCUAAAACACUCAUUUUUCAAAAUAUUCAUUCAUUUUUCAAAUGCCUCUCUCUCUGUAAUCUCUAUGUUUAUAUUGUUUGAGCCCUACAGGAUUACAUAUGCUAGUUUUGCAUGUAUCACACUGCCUGUAAGUAUGACACAGCAUACUAACUUGGUUUCUGUAACAGUAGUACUACCUGAUGUUUCACAAACAUGAGGUCCAAUAAUUACUUGCACAGAUUUAGAAUUAGCAUUUUUCAGAACUGGUAAUAAAGCCAUCAUUAAAGUCAUAUGACGUUUCUGAUAUGUCUCAACAGAGUUAAAUUUUAGGUUGGAAGGAACCUUAGAGAAAUUGAGGCAUAGAAAACUUGAGUACUUUGCCCAUGUUCACGGAGCUAAUUAGUUGCUGAGUUGAGACUUGAAAUUAGACCUCCAAACUCUUAGUUUGGAUCUUUUCUCCCCUACCACAAUGGGUUUCCAAAUGUGAUCUAAAACAUAAAGCAAUAUAAAAAUAUUCAUUAGCUAACAACUAGCAGCCAUAAUCUCACUAAGAAAAAUGCUAACAUAUAGAGUGCUUAGCAGUCAUAGGCCUUAUAUCUUUUAAGAUUCUCGUUUUUCCCCAAGAGUUCUUAAUUCAGCAUCUCUGUGGAAAAAGUAAAAAUAGCUCCUUUAACAUGUUUUAUUAAAGGCACUGACUCUGUCUUAUUCAUCAUUUGUUCUCUCUAAGGUUUAGCACAGUGCUCUGAGUAUUGUAGCUGCUCAGUAAGUUUUAUUAAAGGCACUGACUGUGUCUUAUUCAUCAUUUGUUCUCUCUAAGGUUUAGCACAGUGCUCUGAGUAUUGUAGCUGCUCAGUAAAUAUCAUUUUUUUAAUAUCAUUUUUUUAAAAAAGAUUUUAUUUAUCGGGGCACCUGGGUGACUCAGUGGGUUAAAGCCUCUCUGCCUUUGACUCGGGUCAUGGUCCCAGGAUCCUGGGAUUGAGCCCCGCAUUGGGCUCUCUGCUCAGCAGGGAGCCUGCUUCCUCCUCUCUCUGACUCCCUCUCUGCCUACUUGUAAUCUCUGUCUGUCAAAUAAAUAAAUAAAAAUUAAAAAAAAUUUACAACAUCGAAAAUAUACAUCUAGAACAUUCUAAAGACAUAUUGGGGAAAAGAAAAAUGACCUGUAAUUCUACCUCACUAAUACAGAUGUCACCAAUGUGCUGGUGUGAGAAUGUAUGUAUGUGUUUCCUUCUAGAGCUUUUUUAUAUACAAGCUUUGAUGUAUUUCUUCUGCUAUUAUUUGGUCAUAGCAAAAAACUAAAGCACAGGAAAUGAGACUAAAUUAAAAUGACCUCACCCCCAGCUCUGCAAAAAAAUAUCCAAGAGUAAUGGUUGGAUGUGUAUCCUCGCAUAACUUUUUUUUGUUUAUUUUAUAAAGCUACAAUCAUGAAUGGUAUACAUACAUAAAAUUUGGUAGCCUUUGAAAAAAAUAUUAUUCAUAUUUUCCUGUGUUGCUAUAGUUUUAUGUGUGUGUAUUUUGGGAUUUUUUGUUCGUUCGUUUGUUCGCUCCAUAGUUUUUAUACUAACCUGUUUAGGAAGGAUGUUGUGGGAUGUCUGGGUGGCUCAGUUGGUUAAGCAUCUGCCUUUGUCUGAGGUCUUGGUCCCAAGGGUACUGGGAUUGAGCCCAGCAUGGAGCCCCUUAUUGGGCUCCCUGCUUCUUGGAGAGCCUGCUUCUCCCUCUCUCCUCUGCUUGUGUUCUCAUUCUCUUGCUUUCUAUCAAAUAAAUGAAUGAAAUAUUUAAAAAUUUUUUUUAAAAAGGAAGGAAGUUGACUAGAGAAUGGAUGUCCUAGGAAACUGGAAAUUGUUCCAAAGUUUAUAGGUCUUAAUGAGGUUAAAAACCAGAUUUUGCAUGACAAGUUGGAAAAAUAGGGAAUUAUGAUCUGAAAAUUAGGCUUUCUAAGUUGCAGCAUAAGAAAGGCUUAUAUUUGUUAACUAACAACUGAGAUUGAAGACAAACAUGACUUUCAUCCAAUAAUUUAAUUAUUCUAACUAUUUCAUCUAAUAUUUACAGCCAACUAUCAAAAACUCUAAUGAGGUUCAAAAUGUAAUAAACCCGAUUUUGGAUUUUACAGAUAAUACUUUUUCAUUUUUAUGGCAAACAUAUAUACGUUUACCUAUAUUUAGUCAUAUUAAAAAUUGUAUAUCAAGAUCAUAAAUCAUAAAAUAAUACUUCAAUAUUAUUGGGUAUGUUUUGAAUACAUUUUUUGUCUUAAAGGUGAUAUGAUGUAGGUUGCAUCCUUUCUCUAAGUGGUUGUUUUUGGGUUCUGCAUAUAUAAAUGAAAAUUAAUGGGGUGCGUGGGUGGCUCAGAGGAUUAAAGUCUCUGCCUUCAGCUCAGGUCAUGAUCCCAGGGUUCUGGGAUCAAGCCCCGUCUUGGGCUCCCUGCUCAACAGGAAGCCUGCUUCUCCCUCUCUUUCUGCCUGCCUUUCUGCCUACUUGUGAUGUCUGUCUGUCAAAUAAAUAAAAUCUUAAAAAGAAAUUAAACUUAAUAAAUAUUGAAUUAACCAAUGAUUAAAUACUUACCACAUCCCAAACACUGUGCUAGGCCCUUGGAAUAUAGAGAAGAAAUUAUGCAUCGGCACUGAAGACCUUCCAGCUAGGACACAGACCUGCCAUUCAAUAUAGGAUAUUUAGAGCUGAAAUAGGGACAGAGUAUGAUAAAGCAUGGAGUCUUUUCUCCUGCUUUGCUGAGCCCAGAAGACCUGCCCUUCUGUCCAACACAAUAUCACACUUUGUCACGUAGGCCUCAAAUAGGACUGCUUAUGCACAAAGUCUCACAAAAAUCUAUCAUGAAUAUGGUUCCUUUAUCUUUUGGCUCUAACCUCCUCCUCUGCUGUGACUCUAAAUCAUCAUCAGGCUGGUGAUAGUGACAGACAUUUCCCAUCUCCUCAACUGGCCUUUUUUCUCAUCUGUCUCUUGAACCUCCUUAUACCAGGACACUUUCAUAUUUUUGCAGCCACAAAGCAAAUUUCACCAUAUAAAUGAGCUCAUGUUGGAGGAAGCAGAGAGUGAAAGUGGCAUCUAACUUCAUUUUUAGCAUUUGAGCUCUAAUGAGAACACCCUGGUAAUCCAGGAGAGAAAACUCAUGGGCUCAACAACAUGGAAGAUGGACUAAGGGAAGUACAAGACUAGAGGCAGGUGACUGUUAGGGAAAAUAGUUGUAAUAAUGGUGGGUAGAGAAGGUAAGUGUGUGAUUUGAGGCAGUGGCUUUGGAAAAUAAAUAUUUGGGGCGGUAGGAAAAUAGAAUUUCCAGGUUUCUUCUUUGAGGAACUGUAUUAAUUAUGGCGUCAUUCAGUGAUCUAGGAGGAAUGAUCCAGGGAAAAGGGGUGUCUCCUUUUGUAUUACAGUAAAUCCUAGUAUUAAAAGGCCCCAGUCUAUCAUUCUUUCUCCUCUUCCCCCUUUUUCAUGAGCUUUGAUUUUGUUUGGCUUAUCUACCCUGCUACAAAUGCCAUCUUCGUUUUUAACUCAAUCACAAUAGUCCCAUCUUGAGCCAAAAAGUGGUUUAGGAAUUGGCAAAUGAUACAAUUCUGACUGAUAUAGGAGGGGAAAUUUGCUAGGGAGAUUCUGGAAUACAUGUUUGUUUGUUUUUUUUUCAUUAAUGAAAAGAGAUACCCAGGAAUUCCCUGGACUUUGUUGUGUCUGCAUGUGACAAGUAAACUAGAGAAUCCAUUUUAAGACCACGAAUUAAAAUAAAAAUUAAAAAAAAAAAAGAUUUAGAAGGAAUCUGAGUUUUUGAUGACAUGGUUAGCUACUGAGUUGGAAUCAUCUCACCUCAGACUGCUUGUUAUAUGAGGUAAUAAAUACUCCCAUAUGGUUCAAGCCAGUUGAGUGGAUGGCUCCUGUUUGCAGCCCAGAAUGAUUUAAGAAGCACAGAACUGUCCCUAAAAGAGAAUUCUGGCUAGGCUUGUAAUUACUUGGGAAUAAGAUCUUUGGGUCUAGAGCCUCAAUAGUCCAACCAAUGGCCAAGAGCAGUUCAUAUUGAGAAGGUGUAUCAACUCUUUGAGGUCUGAGAUCUCUGAAAAUGGUCUCCACUAAAAUAUAUUAUUUCUUUAAAGUAGGCAUUUAAUUAUAUUAAUAGUAAGUUAAGAUAGUACUUUAAUUUUCACUUCCUAUAUUAUAGUUACUGUAUACAUACUGUUGCUUAAUACUACUGAGAGAUUCAGAAAUAGAACCCAGCACCUAGGCCAAAAUGGAAGUUCACAACUUCAACAAAGCCCUUUGAGAAAAAGUACAGGAAAUAAAAGUCAACCAAACAGGAAGUAAGCAGAGUAGAACACAGCAGCCGGAAAUAUUUGAGCCUCACAU